rnacentral:rRNA from 1 species
GAUGAACGCUGGCGGCGUGCCUAAUACAUGCAAGUCGAGCGAACGGACGAGAAGCUUGCUUCUCUGAUGUUAGCGGCGGACGGGUGAGUAACACGUGGAUAACCUACCUAUAAGACUGGGAUAACUUCGGGAAACCGGAGCUAAUACCGGAUAAUAUUUUGAACCGCAUGGUUCAAAAGUGAAAGACGGUCUUGCUGUCACUUAUAGAUGGAUCCGCGCUGCAUUAGCUAGUUGGUAAGGUAACGGCUUACCAAGGCAACGAUGCAUAGCCGACCUGAGAGGGUGAUCGGCCACACUGGAACUGAGACACGGUCCAGACUCCUACGGGAGGCAGCAGUAGGGAAUCUUCCGCAAUGGGCGAAAGCCUGACGGAGCAACGCCGCGUGAGUGAUGAAGGUCUUCGGAUCGUAAAACUCUGUUAUUAGGGAAGAACAUAUAUGUAAGUAACUGUGCACAUCUUGACGGUACCUAAUCAGAAAGCCACGGCUAACUACGUGCCAGCAGCCGCGGUAAUACGUAGGUGGCAAGCGUUAUCCGGAAUUAUUGGGCGUAAAGCGCGCGUAGGCGGUUUUUUAAGUCUGAUGUGAAAGCCCACGGCUCAACCGUGGAGGGUCAUUGGAAACUGGAAAACUUGAGUGCAGAAGAGGAAAGUGGAAUUCCAUGUGUAGCGGUGAAAUGCGCAGAGAUAUGGAGGAACACCAGUGGCGAAGGCGACUUUCUGGUCUGUAACUGACGCUGAUGUGCGAAAGCGUGGGGAUCAAACAGGAUUAGAUACCCUGGUAGUCCACGCCGUAAACGAUGAGUGCUAAGUGUUAGGGGGUUUCCGCCCCUUAGUGCUGCAGCUAACGCAUUAAGCACUCCGCCUGGGGAGUACGACCGCAAGGUUGAAACUCAAAGGAAUUGACGGGGACCCGCACAAGCGGUGGAGCAUGUGGUUUAAUUCGAAGCAACGCGAAGAACCUUACCAAAUCUUGACAUCCUUUGACAACUCUAGAGAUAGAGCUUUCCCCUUCGGGGGACAAAGUGACAGGUGGUGCAUGGUUGUCGUCAGCUCGUGUCGUGAGAUGUUGGGUUAAGUCCCGCAACGAGCGCAGCCCUUAAGCUUAGUUGCCAUCAUUAAGUUGGGCACUCUAAGUUGACUGCCGGUGACAAACCGGAGGAAGGUGGGGAUGACGUCAAAUCAUCAUGCCCCUUAUGAUUUGGGCUACACACGUGCUACAAUGGACAAUACAAAGGGCAGCGAAACCGCGAGGUCAAGCAAAUCCCAUAAAGUUGUUCUCAGUUCGGAUUGUAGUCUGCAACUCGACUACAUGAAGCUGGAAUCGCUAGUAAUCGUAGAUCAGCAUGCUACGGUGAAUACGUUCCCGGGUCU